AUGCAGCCCUUGGGAACUGAAAGGGUUGGACUGGAGGUGGCAAGGCAGCGUCGGCAAUCAAACUUACGUACGCCAGCAGCGCCCGCUCUGCUCGCAUCCAUCCCGAUCGAUCCCCAUGUCCUUUUCUCGUGGUGGUGCUCCUCCUGCGUAGCUAGCUGUGCGAGCACGUACGUGUCACCCCCCACCUCCUCCCUCCCUCCCUCCCUCCCUCCUUAUUUAGCACGACACCUCCCUCUUCCUCCUCUGCAUCCACGGCAACAGCUUCCUCUUCCUCCUGAGACCCACCCUUCGCUAGCUCCUAGCUGCAUCUGCUGCUAA
rnacentral:rRNA from 1 species